rnacentral:rRNA from 1 species
GACGAACGCUGGCGGCGUGCUUAACACAUGCAAGUCGAACGGAAAGGCCCUGCUUUUGUUGGGUGCUCGAGUGGCGAACGGGUGAGUAACACGUGAGUAACCUGCCCUUGACUUUGGGAUAACUUCAGGAAACUGGGGCUAAUACCGGAUAGGAGCUCCUGCUGCAUGGUGGGGGUUGGAAAGUUUCGGCGGUUGGGGAUGGACUCGCGGCUUAUCAGCUUGUUGGUGGGGUAGUGGCUUACCAAGGCUUUGACGGGUAGCCGGCCUGAGAGGGUGACCGGCCACAUUGGGACUGAGAUACGGCGCAGACUGCAACGGGAGGCAGCAGUGGGGAAUAUUGCACAAUGGGCGGAAGCCUGAUGCAGAAACGCCGCGUGCGGGAUGACGGCCUUCGGGGUGUAAACCGAUGUCGCCGGUGACGAAGCGUGAGUGACGGUAAUGAGUAAAGAAGCACCGGCUAACUACGUG